rnacentral:rRNA from 1 species
GAGUUUGAUCCUGGCUCAGAGUGAACGCUGGCGGUAGGCCUAACACAUGCAAGUCGAACGGCAGCACAGUAAGAGCUUGCUCUUAUGGGUGGCGAGUGGCGGACGGGUGAGGAAUACAUCGGAAUCUACCUUUUCGUGGGGGAUAACGUAGGGAAACUUACGCUAAUACCGCAUACGACCUUCGGGUGAAAGCAGGGGACCUUCGGGCCUUGCGCGGAUAGAUGAGCCGAUGUCGGAUUAGCUAGUUGGCGGGGUAAAGGCCCACCAAGGCGACGAUCCGUAGCUGGUCUGAGAGGAUGAUCAGCCACACUGGAACUGAGACACGGUCCAGACUCCUACGGGAGGCAGCAGUGGGGAAUAUUGGACAAUGGGCGCAAGCCUGAUCCAGCCAUACCGCGUGGGUGAAGAAGGCCUUCGGGUUGUAAAGCCCUUUUGUUGGGAAAGAAAAGCAGUCGAUUAAUACUCGGUUGUUCUGACGGUACCCAAAGAAUAAGCACCGGCUAACU